rnacentral:piRNA from 1 species
UAAAAAUGGAUACAUACCAUUUUAAA